AGAGAGAAGCAAAAAAGGGAAAUGGGUUGAUUUCAAUUGCUUUGAAUUAUGAUUAUAUACAGGCAGAAGGGAAGAUUUUGGUCUUCAUUUUUCAAAACAACACAGCCACCAGGCUUCUUCUAAAAGCAACGAUUGGGGUGCUUUCUCUUGCCAUGCUGAGAUCAGGUUAUACUGUUCCCCACUCAUACUCAAAAGUAUAUGCAUGCCUUCUUGGUAGUUUCAUUGUUCGGAUGGUUUAAACUUCAAUUAUUAAAGGUUAUUAGGGAAUGA